GAUACUGCGCCGGCUGAACGGAUAACUCUGAUGACGUUAACUAAGGAACUACAUUUCCCUGUAUCU
rnacentral:tRNA from 1 species